rnacentral:misc_RNA from 1 species
AACCAUAGAAACCUGCGGAGUACCUGCGGAAGGAUCAUUACAGAGUUGCAAAACUCCCUAAACCAUUGUGAACGUUACCUAAACCGUUGCUUCGGCGGGCGGCCCGGGUCCUUCCCGGCGCCCAUCGGCCCUCGCGGGCGCCCGCCGGAGGUAAACCAAACUAUUGCAUUGUAUGGCCUCUCUGAGUCUCCUGUACUGAAUAAGUCAAAACUUUUAACAAUGGAUCUCAGAUCGGAAGAG